rnacentral:rRNA from 1 species
GACGAACGCUGGCGGCGUGCCUAAUACAUGCAAGUUGAGCGCUGAAGGUUGGUACUUGUACCAACUGGAUGAGCAGCGAACGGGUGAGUAACGCGUGGGGAAUCUGCCUUUGAGCAGGGGACAACAUUUGGAAACGAAUGCUAAUACCGCAUAAAAACUUUAAACACAAGUUUUAAGUUUGAAAGAUGCAAUUGCAUCACUCAAAGAUGAUCCCGCGUUGUAUUAGCUAGUUGGUGAGGUAAAGGCUCACCAAGGCGAUGAUACAUAGCCGACCUGAGAGGGUGAUCGGCCACAUUGGGACUGAGACACGGCCCAAACUCCUACGGGGGGCAGCAGUAGGGAAUCUUCGGCAAUGGACGAAAGUCUGACCGAGCAACGCCGCGUGAGUGAAGAAGGUUUUCGGAUCGUAAAACUCUGUUGGUAGAGAAGAACGUUGGUGAGAGUGGAAAGCUCACCAAGUGACGGUAACUACCCAGAAAGGGACGGCUAACUACGUG